AGAGGGGAAUGAGAGCUUCAAGAUGGUGGUGGUGGCAUUGAAAAACUCCAUCGAAGUUGGCAGGAAUCGACCUUGGAAAAUGGGAGGUCGCGGAGGUGUGGGUGACGGGGAAGCUGGGAGCUUUCUCCCUUUUUUUUUUUUUUCUUUUCUGAUUGGCUGAAGGCUUUGCUUGCUUUUAUGUGAUUGGUCCUUUGUGCCUAAAAUUUGAUUGGGUUACUUCCUUGAAGGAGUUAAAUUAAUUUACAAACUGAAUAUAAAUAACCAAAUUCAAAAGUCUGUAACUAUACCGUUAUCAUCCAGACUCGCAAACGGCUUUCGGCUAUGUGUUCGGACCAACAAGUACUACAAGGAUACGCUAAAAGAAUAAGUCAUACGUUUCUCUAGACGAUGGUAAAUUAAAGUCAAAGUCCUUACCUCUAGGGCAUUUUUGUAAAUUCACACUUUUAAAAUUAAUAAAAACGUAAAAUUAAGAAUGGGUUGUCACAAUCUACCCACCUUAAAAAAUUUCAUCCUCGAAAUUUAAAAUCAUUUGUUAUACAACAGUAGUGAAAAGACAGCAGAUAAAUAGAUAUGUAAGGAAGAUAUCAAGUAAGCGUGGUUGCAUAAAAGAGAAUGUCAUUCCAUCACGAUCGGAGUGCAGUGAUUCCUCAUUCAUACCCCCAAACUAGUACUUUCUUUAUCCUUUAACACAAUACUAAAAUGUAAUACUACAAUAUAAAAUCCUUUAUGAAAACAUUAAGUCAAAAAUAGAUAUGCAGUAACAUGUCGUCAAAAUGCACAAAUCAUAUAACGUACCAUUGAAUAGUUGUAUUGAAAUCAAGACUGAACAUAGAUUAGUUUUCACCUACGCACUCAUUGUGUUACAUACCCCGAAGAUGAACAUGUAGUAUCUUUGGGUCGAGCCUAGAUAAUGAAUAACUAACUAAAUAAGUAAAUACAAAUGCUAACAUAGAAUGACCUACUUGUCUAUUUACUUAACGAACCCAACGAAUAAGUUAUUGAUAUUACGGUCUGCAACCUGCAAUACCAACAAUUUACUGUUGUCAUGCUAAGUAAGUAACAAAUUCCCUAGGGUGCAAUAUAACCAUCAUCCCCUCCAUUGGAAAAUACACAAAUAACGUCUAGUCAAAUCUCCACCGCACUCACACACUCCCCCUCCUUGGGUAACAACAACAAUAGGAUAACAUUUUUAUAGUGUGAACUUUCACAAUUGAACACUUGUUCGUAAAACUCCUCAGUCAAGCAAGUGCUAUGCAAAGAAUCUACAUUCCAAAUCUCCAUAGUGUCACAACAAAGACCAACAAUUUUUUGUGAAGAGUUACAAGCAUUUCUAGUGAAGAUAAGUAUCAAAUACGAUCAUACUACAACUAUAAAGAAAAUAAAUGUAACACACCAAGAAAGUUUGGAUAGUCCCUUCAGAUUGGUUGUUAGUUUGAGGGAAAUAUAUAGUCAACUACAACUUACUACAUGUGGACUUCAAGAAGGCUUCCCAAACACUUGUAAAACAUGCAUCCCGAUAAGAUAUAAUAGUGACAUACCUGUUAUGUAGUUGAGCUAACAUAGUUUACAACAGUUUAGCAAGCAAAUUGAUAAUGAAGUUCCUCGAACUUAGUGAGAAAGUGACUACGUCGAGAAGGCUAGAAGAAUAUUCGAGAAUUUGAGGAUCAAAGCAAGUCCAUCAAAUUUAGAAUAAGAGAUAAAUGGACUGGAUGUAUAACAUCAAACUACGACAAUAGCUUUCGAGAUAUUCGAUCACCAUGGUAAGAUUCAUUCAACUGAGCAUUUGCUAGGUGAUUAAGUAAUUAAUGGUUACGACUGCACUUUCAACAUUAAUGGUUCUUUUAGACAGUGCUUCCGCUUUAAGGCAAUACAAAGUGUAGUAGGGUAAACACGUACCCAAGGUUAACUAGAAGACCUUCCAGCACCAAGAAGUGAAAAUGUUGUCCUUUUAAACCAACGGAAAGCGAAUUGACUUGUCACAUCAAUUGACAAUCAUCAUACAUCACCAAAAUCCCUACAGAGAAGUGUUAUCUAGCUUUCGAAAUAAGAUGAUGACUGUUGAAUUUAGGUCAUGAAUAAGAUGGGUUGUUUCGAAUGGUUCUAACUGUUGGAAAAUAAAAGCAAUACUCCGUCAUGUUGCCUCUGCCCAGUCGAAACAUCCAAAGAACAUGUCACACUGAAUUUCGAAAUGAUCAGAGUCAACAAAAGGUGUAAAAUAGGGGUAAGAUAAGACAACACUUCAGUUGUCAGAAACUUUAAUCAUUUCCACCAACCCACUCUAAUUUAACUUUCCUCGGUCGUAAGUGAGAAAAACACUGUAGCCGAAAGGUUUGAGGUUCCUACGAUAAAGUGUUUAGUCCUUGGUUGGGUAAAUUCCUAAUUGGUAAACUUUGUAACUAAGUUUCUCAAUGACGUAAAAAAUGUUCAAUAUGAAGCAAGGAAUAUUGGUGUAAAACUAGGAAGUGGGUCGAUGAUGUACAUCACUUAACAAUUUGGUGGUAUAUCGGUAAGAUUGGGAUACGACACCAAAAGUAUACGUCCUUGAAACGUACAAUACUACUAACCAACUCUACG
rnacentral:lncRNA from 1 species